rnacentral:lncRNA from 1 species
AUCAAGAUGUUACUGUUCCAAUGUGGAAAUAUUCUCUCAUAUGCUUGCAGUGCCUAGUUUGCCAGUAGCGGAACCAUCAAUAUUGAUUUUCAUAUGCCAUGAGGAGAUAGCGACUAUAGAUACCAAUUUUUGUUUAGGUAAAUCUCAAUUUUGUUCAAGAUGUCAAUUUGCACAAUUAAGGCUUAUAUUGAGUCUUGUAGGCUUAAUUAUGGUCAUUUUAAGCCUAAUUUUAAAGCCCAAAAUCAAUCUCCAUUACCAUUAGCCCAAAUUCAAUAUCUUUGGACCACAAUCUAUGUGAGGGCUUUUUUUAAAAUUAAUUAAGUCUUAUUUAAUUUUGUUAAAAAAAAAAGUCAGAAGGCAGUGAUAGUGGGUGUCAGUACAACGAGCCUCCAUCGAUACCUAAUCUCCUUCUAGCUCUACCAACCACCCUAACACUGCGAUUCUAAUACAACUAAUAUGUACAGUUGAAGUCCCACUGGCAAUGGGAUUUCAAUCCUUGAAAAUUUAAGAGAUUUGUCUAAAAAAAUGUACAUAAUAAAACUGAGCCAAAAUCAUCAAUUUGGGAUAAGGACAUGGCAAAAGAACCCCAUCCUUGCAACCCUAUUGAAACCAAUUGCAAACCCUCAUUGUCAAGCAACUAAAAAGCCCUAGCAUCCCUGCCAAAAACAAACCCAAUCCCUUGCCAUUCCCACUAAGAAUCAAAGCUAAACCACUAACAAACUAGCCUUCAUAACAUACCACCAAAACCUUACAACUAAAACAACCCAAAAUUCCUAAAAACUUGUCUCCACCCACGCCAACCCCAUUACGUACCACUACAAACCCAAAGGGAAAUCAACAAAAAAACCAUCGAAACCCAUCCUAUCUAGAAUUGAAACCCUCCCACCUUCACACUUUCAGCCAAUAUCCACUAAAAAUCCCAACCCACCAUCAUAAUAAAAAAUCAUCCCAACUGAAAACACCACCCAUCCCUAGUGUCCACCACUGAAACAACACCCAUUACCACUAUGAUUACUCUCCAACUGUUCGGAGGUCCCGGUCUCAAGAACAAGAAUAAAGAACUCGAGCUACCAGUCGCAGGUGAAAAAACUCCUGCAGUCUACGUAGCCUAGGUUGAAUGAAUAAGAUCGGACAAAGUUACUUUCCGUGAAAACUCUAGCCAACCAGCAGAGAAAGCCAUUAAGAUUAACGAGUGAGGAAAGCGUUC